GCAGUUGGAGCACAGUUGGUAGAGUGCUUGUUUAGCAUGCAAGAAGUCCUGGGUUCCAUCCCCAGCGCUGUA
rfam:Mus musculus chromosome 1 genomic contig, GRC reference assembly alternate locus group 129S6/SvEvTac.